GCGGACGUGGUGGAACGGUAGACACGCCAGCUUGAGGGGCUGGUGCCCGCAAGGGUAUGAGGGUUCAAAUCCCUCCGUCCGCA
rnacentral:tRNA from 1 species